GAUGAACGCUGGCGGCGUGCCUAAUGCAUGCAAGUCGAGCGAACGGACGAGAAGCUUGCUUCUCUGAUGUUAGCGGCGGACGGGUGAGUAACACGUGGAUAACCUACCUAUAAGACUGGGAUAACUUCGGGAAACCGGAGCUAAUACCGGAUAAUAUUUUGAACCGCAUGGUUCAAAAGUGAAAGACGGUCUUGCUGUCACUUAUAGAUGGAUCCGCGCUGCAUUAGCUAGUUGGUAAGGUAACGGCCUACCAAGGCAACGAUGCAUAGCCGACCUGAGAGGGUGAUCGGCCACACUGGAACUGAGACACGGUCCAGACUCCUACGGGAGGCAGCAGUAGGGAAUCUUCCGCAAUGGGCGAAAGCCUGACGGAGCAACGCCGCGUGAGUGAUGAAGGUCUUCGGAUCGUAAAACUCUGUUAUUAGGGAAGAACAUAUGUGUAAGUAACUGUGCACAUCUUGACGGUACCUAAUCAGAAAGCCACGGCUAACUACGUG
rnacentral:rRNA from 1 species